CUUACCAUCUCUUGUUAGCAGUAAUGCUGCUUAUCUACUAGUUGGCUUGUCACAAAGCUUAAAUAUACUUACAUUAUUUAAAUGUCUUUAGAUGAAAUGAAGAACUGUCAUUGUGAAAAUAUUUAAACCUGCUCCAGCGCCAGCACACAGUCAAAAUGGUGUUAUUAUACACAAACACCAGGAUGUAUUCACUUCUGCUGUCUACAGAGAGUGGAGGAUGUGUAGAAAUGCCUGGGGUUAUGCUGACACUCUGAAUACUUCAACACCCUGCUCAGCUUCUUCAAGUCCCAAGACAUUCAGCAACACAGCGAUACCUGGAGGCAACUCUUGAUGGCUUGCUGGCAAGAGAAGCUGCCAAGGCACACGUAGCUGCUAUUUGUCAGCAAUGGCAACUAUCUGAUCUUCUCACUGGUGAGCAUGAGGUGGAGGAUUCGUCUACCUGGGGAAACCUAGGAUGUUUGAGCAUUCAUCCAUCCUAGAGAAUAGUCAAGCUCAGCUGCAGAGGUUAUCAGCCAUGGCUAUCACAGUGUGUCUGACCUGGCCCUGCAACAAUCACUGCUGCAGCCUUCAUAUGCUUGGCACAAAACAGUCAUACUCCUCCUGAUGUGAGACUGCAGACCAGUCUAAAAUCUCAGUUCAGCACAAUAGACCUCUCAGCCCAGCUCACAGGCACUUUCAUAGUAUUCCUGAAGCAAACUAUUCUUUCUCUUUCUUUUCACACGGGGAAAGGCUUGCUCUCACAAGCACUUCAAAACCUUAUUUCAUAACCUCAUUUAUUAAGCUCAUUGAAUAAGCACAGCACAAAGACUUCACUAUGAACUUUCCCUAAUGCAGAGCAAUAAUUUCAUGCAGUCAAUAGCCACAGCUAAGGCACCUCAUGUUCCUCGCAAUCAUCAAGCAAGAACAGUUCUCUGCUGUGGGGCAGAGUCCUGUUUCACUUUGACCAGAAUCCUACUUCACUUCUAAUACAAAACUGUGGAAGAGAGAAGGUAGAAGUUUUUCUGAUGUAGAACAUCUGUUUCAACUCACUGAUUCAUGUGGGACACCCAAAAACCAACACAAUGGUGCUUUGUUACAGAUGCUAUAACACAGAAUGUUAAAAGCAGCCACAACAUUACAUUAGCAUCUCAAAGCUUCUACCAGGAACCAGAGCAAUGUGGUAAGCAGAAUGGUAAAACACACAAGAGAUAAACUCUUCCCUGAAUGAAUGACAAACUAAGUUUGCAAAGUAGACAAAAUGGGGAGUUGUUCUGGUGUUUAACUGGAAAGCUACUGAGGCAGAGUGAAGAAGUGAUUUCCACAGGAAAGUAGGUAAUGUAAGUGUAGGCUCUAUGUCUUCAAACAGUGUUAUGGUGUGUUACUACCCUGUCUGAGGAGCGUCAGCAUGGCUGACACACAGAGAACUUAGAUGGCUGCCUUGUCUCUUAUACUCACCAGGAGGGUGGAAGGUCUGUGUAUUGCAUCUCACUUAAGCCUUCAAAAGACAGAGUGGCUGAGGUGUAGAUGUCACAACGGAAUUGCUCUCAAAGAGAACAGUAUAUCAGUACCAUGAUCCUGAUCUUAUUUCAUUCCAAGGAACCCCUAAACAUAGGAGGUCAAGAGAAUGAGCUCGUAUUCUUGGCUAGGUGAGCAUAAGAACACGAUGACAAAUCUAAAUGCUGAUGAAAAAUUGCCAGAGGCCCAUAAAGCUGCCAAAGUACAGUAGGCAGGUUUUCACAUGAUUACAACUCUUUCUUUCUCAAAUGCCCAACCUGAUUGACCAAUUAAAGUAUUUAAUGCUCUCAGAAAGAGUCUGUCAUUAACUGUAAUUUGUUCUAGUCUCACCAGUUCUUUCAUGGCUGCUUCUGGUGAAAGGACCAUUAUAUACAACCAUUUCAAUCUCCAUAUUAUAAUGUGAAUUUUUUGAUAGUUUGCUAUAAAUAGGAUUGAUUCAUAAGGAGAGUAAUGAAUUCGUUGCCAGUCCUUUACCAACUACUUAAUGACUGUCAAGAUACAUUAAACAUCCUUAGCUGUACACUGGGGCCUGAGCUUAUUCUUGGCUAGUGUAUCUGACUGUAUCAAGAAACCUGCACUCAGUGCAUUAAUGUUAAGUGAAAAAUACUCUCAGUGACUAUGAAUAAUUUUUAGAGUGCUUUAUUUCCUCAUAAAUAUUGACACUGAUCAUUAUAAAUGCCUUCCGAAAGAGGUGACCAGAUUGAUUACACAAUCUAUCAUCAUUAAACAUAGAGAGAAAAUGAAAAAAGGAAAGAAAGAAAAAGAGAAAGGGAAAAAAAAGAAAUAGGAAAAAAAAAACCAUUAAAAAAUCCCAAUCAUACUUUUACCAAGGCUCUCCUGGUAUUCUCAUCUAAAAGAGCUUGUCACAGUGGUAGGCCCUGUACAAAUUAAAGACACUUUUGAAGCUGUAAUGUAUUUAGACUAGCUGGUUAGUGAGAUAGUAUAAAGCCAUUUGUACUAAAUCUCUCAAAUCUCUCUUUCAUGCCAUGUCCAUAUGUCAGUGUAGUUAGCAGACUGUGCCUACAACCACACCUAAUUUGAGAAUACAGUGGGUCUUGCUUGAAGGUCAUAGGCCACAUGACAUGCUCUUGCCCAGCCCCUCCUCUCUGAGCCAGUGAGGGUUGGUACUCACCGAUGAAGGAUACAUGAGCUCUCAUGAUCCGCUGUACUACCCUGGGGUUCCCUUAUGGCAAGUUCCCAUAUCCUCAGGGAAAGGCACUGCAGAGAUUUCCAGAUGAAGCCUAAAAUGUACCCACUGGGACAGGGAGAGCCAAGAGGAGAGGAAAAACACUGUUUAAAUUUCAGCCUGGAGAAGGUUCUGGGGAGACCUGAUGGCAGCCUUUCAGUAUCUAAAGGGGGGUGAUAAUAAGGAAGGGAAGAGAUUUCUUUAGCAGGGUAGAACAAGGAGUAAUGGUUUCAAACUAAAAGAGGAGAGAUUUAGAUUGGAUAUAAGGAACAAGAUAUUUACAAUAAAGAUGGCGAGGCACUGGAACAGGUUGCCCAGAGAUGUGGUGAAUGCCACCCCCAUAACUGGAGACAUUAAUGGUCAGGCUGGCUGGGGCUCUGAGAAACUUGAUCUAGCUGUAGGUGUCCCUGCUCACUGCAAGGGAAUUGGACUAAAUGAGUUUUAAGGGUUCUUUCCAGCUCAAACAAUUCUAUGAUUCUAUAUCUCAUACACUAGUAUUCAUUUCCAGCUCUUGCAUCUACAAGGCCCAAGGACAAGCAUCUCUUAUGCUGCAGGAAUAUAAAUCUAUAGCAUCUAUUUUUAAAGAAAACUAAGUAGAGCUAGGCAAUAUGGUCUAUGGGGAAGGCCUGUGAUGUACGAUCAUGCUACAUAACAUUAGCUAAAGUAAUUCAUCUUGAUACUGGAAACAACCUGGAGGCAUCUCUGUGAUAGUUCAUGAAUUCCACAUGAGACCUCAUUAUUUGUUAUUAUACACACUGUGUACAUUGAGUGUGAUAAUUCAAUAGCGUAUUGCCAAGGAGUGCAGGGAAGACAAAUUACAGAGAGAUUACAGACAGGGUCUGGAUUAGAGUCUCUCAGUACACCUCCGUGAUUACUGGGUUGCUGACUUUUGUUCUUCCUUUCUCCAAACACUUUAAAAAGGCUCUGAAAGCACAGAAAGGUGAUGAAGUUUGGGAAUACCUUUAAAGACAUUUUCUAAGAGAAAAGAGAAUAAGCCCAUAUACUCCAUGCACACAUGCAACACAUUUUUUGCUAUUGUACCUAGUUUCCCACUAAACAGAACAAUGCCAAAUUAAAGUCCUUCUUGCAGUCAUUAAUGAAGUUCAUCCAUGACAUUUGAACAUGAUGCAGGCACUUGAAGCUUUACUUGGUUUUCUUCUUCAGUAAACCAUGAAGACAUGGAAGUAACAAGCUUUGUAAUCUGGAAGAAAAAAAUAUAUGUAUACUGAUCAGUCAAAGAGAAGUCUUUAGUCAAUAGUCCUGAAGGAAAAGCAUUAAAAAUAUAUAUGUUACCCUCAUGUACUGCAUACAGUAAGGACCUGACACAGUUUGUUGACAAGAAACACAAAGAACAUAUAAAGAACACAUAAAUGAAGAACUACUGUCUAACUUUAUUGCAGCACUCAUCUUUGCAGGGAUUCAUUCACUAACCAGAGGCAAUCCAAAAAAUACAAUCCUAGAUAAUUAGCACUAUUAGCUAAAUUGGAGAUCAUCACAUUCAAAAUGAAUUCUUUUCUGGCUAUAUCAGGCUCCGUCUCCUAUAAAAGAUUCUUGCACAUAAUAGGAAGAAAACACUGGAAAUCCAAUUUUUUAAAUCCCAAUUCAAAUAAGACUGAGGAAGUCACAGUAAUAAAUCAUCUCAGAGAACACAGUACAGUCUUGUGGAAAAUCUAGAGCAGUAGGUAAAGAAGCAGCAGAAAAAAAAAUCUCUCUAUAUAUAAAAUAUAUCCUUUCUGAUGCCCUUAAAUCAGAAAGAUAUGCAAUACAGAGAUAAUAUUUACAUAGAUCCUGAAAACAUGAUGUAUUCAAAUUAAGCCCAAUCACUUCUUUAUAUGUCCAGUGCUGUUAAUGUAGCUAAGACUUACUCUUAUUGCUAAGUGCCAUUUUAUCUGGCAGGAGAAUGUGUUGACUUCAGUGCCAUCAUUUACAUUUUCUCUUUUUUAUCAUUUCUUAAAGGAAAUGCUCAAUAAUCAGUAGCCAGAGAAAGAUACAAUGCUAAAUAAUAUUCCUGGCAGUUGCAAAUGUCUGUCUGCAGCAGAAUCUUUCCAGAGGAUAUUUAAUUCCAAAUAAUGUCAGCUUUUAUCAGUAGAUACAUUGUUAUCGGGCCAGUUCUCUGUUCUGAGAAUGAAGAUCACAAUAUUGGAGCUGUUUGGGGGGCACUGAUGAAUGUCUCUUCUUGUGGAGGGGUGUGAAUGGAGAACAGGCUCCAGCAGGAAAGUGGAUGUCAGGGAACUGGACUCUUCUGGGCUCUGUCACCAGCCUACUGGGGAGCAUGGGGCAAACCACUUCAUUUUGCUGAGGAUCAGAUGCUUUAACUAUAUGACGAGGAAAAGAAUUAGAGCUGACUGAUAAGCUUAUGAAGCCAGAAAGAAGCCUUGGGUAGAAAGGAUUCUGCUUGAAAGGAAAUUCCUAUUUUUAUAUUAAAGUUUGGCUGUUUGUAAUAAAAAACAGGUACACCUUUAUUAUUAUUUAUUUAUUUAUUUAUUUAUUCAUUUUUGGCAAUGAAAAUUCAAAGCUUUUCAAUGAAGUCCAAGGGGAAAAAACACUUUCUUCUAACCUUAUUUUAGUUCUGUGAAAAAAUAACAACAGUGAUCAAGUAAAUCUUUAGCUAGCUCUAAUGAAUCUAACUCAUUAUAGAAAAACUGUUUGGCUGAAAAGCAUUGCAAAAGAGCCAAAUAGCAUUACAGAACAACUCUCUUUUGAUAGUACAUCUAUGCUCAAAUUAUAUUCCAGCUGACAGCAUCCUGACAUCCACAGGUCAUGCUGGUCACACAGGUGGAGUAAAAGUCAAACUAUGUUGAAAGCACAUUAAAAUCCCCUGCUGAAGAAUUUUGCUCCCACUUAAGCAGACAGAAUUAAACUGAUCUGUGUCAAGGUUAAAUCACUAUUUUGAUUGAGUCACUGACUCACACAUUAAAUAAAAUGGAGGGUCGAUGGAACCUGAAACGUCUUAUCCAUGAUGGUUAAGGAAACCAUGCUAGACCACUGUGUAUUAAAUCCUUGUUUAAAUACAGUCACUGCUGGCAUCAGUAUCUGGCACAGUGAUAGCUCCGAAAAGAGAGAGAAACACUGGACUUAAUGUCCUAAUAGACCGUGAAAAGCAGACAGACAUAGUUAUGUUUUAAUCUGCUUUCCUACUCCAACACAGAAAAGCAGCCAAACUGAAGAAAUCAUAGCAAUGUCUAUGACUACGUGACAUUAAGAGCAUACAGAGUCUAUAUGUUCAGACAGUCAGAAGCACUGAAAACUUGUUUACUGAGUUGGGAAGGUGAGACAACUAAAGGAACUCCAGAAUACCAACUCUUUUAUUUCACAGCUUCUGUUUCAUAGUUGCUACGGAUGUAUGUUGGAUCAUCUUUCCUCCAGGAACUUCAUUUGGAUUGCCUAUGAUAAAUGAUUCUGAUAAUGUUGCCUCUGCUUAUAUUUUAUUCUAUAACCAAUCAUUUCCAAAUAGACUUCCCAAAUAACAGUGGAGAUGAGAACCCAUCAAAAAGUCAUCUGCUGUGAGCCUUGGAAAUGCUAACCAGAAAGAGUGUCAGAGGCACCAUUUUAAUAGGCAGUCCAGAAAAUACCAAUUUUAAUGAGUGCGUACAAGCAUCGGACUCAAUCAUCAUUUCCUACCAAGACAAAGACAUUGGAAAUGAAGCACUUGAACCCAGCUGUGUACACCACUUUGGAUAUAUUCAUAAUACCUCUUUCAAAACAGAUCUCAUUGGACCACUUUCCUUGAACUGUCAGAAGAGUGGACAAUAAUCUGAAGGAUCCUAAGUGCAGCUAAUUGCUCUAAAUUGUGUCUGGGUACACAACAGAAAUAAAAGGUAUUUCUCUUUCCCGGUAGAAAUCAGCUACAGGAAUUAUUCAUGUGGAGGAGAAAGGAGUGUUGGCCAUUUUACAUAAAUCUGUUCCCUUUGAUGUUUGCAAAAGAGAGCAAGUUCAUAAUAUUUGAGCAGGCUGAAAUUACAGCUGAGUAAAGUUACAGACUUUUUUUCCUUUCAUUUUUAAAUGAGAUUGUAAUGUUUAAAAGCAAUCAGCUGAUGGUUGUGGUCCACUUUUGUAUAAUCACUGCUUCGAUUGAUGCAUCUCCUAAAAAUACUUGAAAUUGAAACCAUCAGAUGUUAACAAUAUCUCUUUUUCUGCCAUUAGAUAAUAUCCAAUCAGUGAUUCUGGGCAGCAGUGAGGCUUCUUAAUUCAAUGAUUAUGUACCACCUAUGUUUCCCAUUUUGCUGACUGAAGCUCCAGCUGUUUCUGGUUCAUGUCAACACACUUCAAACAUUGGCAAUUAUAGCUAAAAAAAAAUAAGUAUAGGAACAUUCUGGAUCCCACAUCAGUUCCCCUUUUGUAGUAAAAGAAUUUUAGAAAGUUCUUGGAUAGGACAGAAAGGCAGAAUGAGAUUUAUUUUAAAUAAGCAGUAGACAAUUCCACUGAUAAUCACUGCUAUAUAUUUUCUCCAAGUAAAAAAUUGUCACUGAUGAAUUGACUCUUGGACGGCUCUGCCUCCCCAAGAACUGUUCUAUACAGGGGGCUAUGUUGACUGUAAUAUUUUCAGCUAAUA